CAAGGUAUAGUUUAAGAAAAAUAUUAGUUUUGGGUGCUAGAGAUGUUUUUAAAACUAGCUUGA
rnacentral:tRNA from 2 species